rnacentral:rRNA from 1 species
UACGUAGGUGGCAAGCGUUGUCCGGAAUCACUGGGCGUAAAGCGCUCGCAGGCGGUCCGAUGCGUCGUGCGUGAAAGACCCCGGCUCAACUGGGGAGGGUCGUGCGAUACGGUCGGACUCGAGGCCAGUAGGGGGACGCGGAAUUCCGGGUGUAGUGGUGGAAUGCGUAGAGAUCCGGAGGAACACCAGCGGCGAAGGCGGCGUCCUGGACUGGUACUGACGCUCAGGAGCGAAAGCGUGGGGAGCGAUCCGG